rnacentral:rRNA from 1 species
GGAGUCUGGGCCGUAUCUCAGUCCCAAUGUGUCUGCUCACCCUCUCAGGCCAGAUACCCGUCAUUGCCUUGGUGGGCUUUUACCCCGCCAACAAGCUGAUGGGACGCAGGCCGUUCCUUCGGCGCGGCCAAAGCCGCUUUCCUCGGUGGCUUCCAAGACCACCGACCUUAUUCGGUAUUACCCGGUAUUUCUACCGGCUAUCCCCAUCCAAAGGGUACGUCACCAACGUGUUCCUCACCAGUCCGCCACUCUAGGAAAGUGCAAGCACUUUCUUGCCGUCCGACUUGCAUGCUUAAGACCCGCCGCCAGCGUUCAUU